rnacentral:rRNA from 1 species
GCGAGAAAACUUUGCAAUGUGCGAAAGCACGACAAGGUUAAUCCGAGUGGUUUCUGCUAAAGAAACCUUUUGUCAGUCCUAGAAACACUAACGAAUAAGGGGUGGGCAAGUUCUGGUGUCAGCCGCCGCGGUAAAACCAGCACCUCAAGUGGUCAGGAUGAUUAUUGGGCCUAAAGCAUCCGUAGCUCGUUUUGUAAGUUUUCGGUUAAAUCCAUGCGCUUAACGUAUGGGCUGCCGGGAAUACUGCAUAACUAGGAAGUGGGAGAGGUAGACGGUACUCGGUAGGAAGGGGUAAAAUCCUUUGAUCUAUUGAUGACCACCUGUGGCGAAGGCGGUCUACCAGAACACGUUCGACGGUGAGGGAUGAAAGCUGGGGGAGCAAACCGGAUUAGAUACCCUAGUAGUCCCUGAGCGGGCUGGCAAGGCGCAU